rnacentral:misc_RNA from 1 species
ACACACCCUUCCGCCACAGACGACUUCAUCGAAAGGGGUACAUAGAUAGGCACGCCCUCUUCACAUAAAUCGGCCCCUGUGCGCGCGUAUUCGUGUACGCUCUCACUGUGCUCCUACUCUCUCUCCCCUCAUCCCGACUGGAGAUGGAGGAGCGCAUCUGCGUGGCCACCCUUAGCCCAACGCCAACAAGAAAAGAUACGCGACGGAUCACCUCACUCCUGUUUACAUCGCACAUAACGUCGCCUCUGGUGGCAGUUAAACGUGCCUUGGAAGUUCGGCCCCGGUUUGUCAGCGCUUGCGAAGCACGUGGAAUAGUUUUGUGCGCCGCGCAUUUCCUCAUAUGUCGUCCUUCUCUGCCGCGUUCGCGCCGCGGCGUGCCGGGGCUGUUGUGUCCGAAUAUGUGCGCACCUUGGUGGGCUCGGCGCCAAUCUCAGAGUCGCCUCCUAUCGAGGUCUCGGAGGAGGCAUCAGAUACCGCGGCGGCGGCCUCCAGAGCGACUCAUCGCGGCAACUGGAACGCGCGCCUGGCACAGCUGUUGCACAGCAUGUACCUUGUAAGCCUGAUCGAGAAGGCUCAGCUCGGCGCGAUUCAUUACGGCGGCGUAGGCGUCUCCUCCGCCGAUGCGAGCCGGCUUAGCGGGAAAGCGGUGUCCCCAACACCUGAGCACGAAGGAUUGUCGGCGGGUCACGCGCCACCGAUACACAGCGUCGCCAUUGAUGACCGCUGGCUUGACGCGGUGACGCGCUACGGCCACUUCACCUGCACAGUGGAUGAUGUCGCGCGGGUGGCAAUGGCGUUUUCAGAGUUGGUGCAUGUCCGCUGGACGCUACCGGCGUGGCACGGCUCCGCGCCUCCCCUUGCCCAUGGCAAUGAUGAGGCUCACAGUGGCGCAACAGGGCCGCGUUCUCUCUCUAUCCUACAUCAGACCGUAUCGCCUGUACGGGGCAAGGCAACCCCGUGUGGCGGAAGGCUCCGUGGGCGCCUUUACCUCACAGCGAGUCACGUGAUCUCUGUGGAAGAAGCAGCGGUGCACUUGCAACAGGCUCUUCAGCGCAAAGGCACCGCGGCUGCCCAACGCGCCUGGCUAGAGCUCGUGAACCGCCACACGGCCUAUGCCGCGUACGUGGAUUUGAUAGAGGGCGUUUCGACGUCGUCCCCUGGCGGCAAUGGUGCCGGCGACGUUGUGCCGGGGUCGAAAUCUUCCGAUGGCGCCACAGGCAAGCUUGGCCCCCCCUUCGAUAACGGCACCGGCGAGAAGAGCACCGCCUGCGAAGUCAGCGAUGACCAACUUCUUCAGCAACUUUCAGCCGAAUUGCGUGCCUCGCUCUCGGCACCGAUGCUACGCGCCUUGCUUUCCCAGAUGCGCAGAGAUGCGGCGCAUACAGAGAAGCGAGACCAGCAACGCACGGUGGAGCGGCAGCUGAACGAGCGCAUAAUGAGCGCCUACGAGCAGGUGCGAGCGUUGCUGGGCGGAAAGCAAGCGAAAAGUCGCAAUGCCUGGUCGCUUCUCGUCGCGAUGCGCGAGGAGAGCCGCUUCGACGAUGCACUGGACGCUGCGGCUCUGCUCUCCCGCCUUUUGCGCAUUCCUGCCUCCGGCCUCACGGCGACGAUGCUGUGCGAAGCAGAGGUACGCGCUGAGCCACCAUCUGCCACGUGGGAGGGGAAGGCGACAAAAGCAAAGGGCAAGGCAGUGCGCGGCAAGCGGAAGCGCGAGGCCGACGAGGUGGACGCAGCGUUGCUGGUUCACGUAACAGAGACUACAAUUGAAAGCGUGACAGACCUGCAGGGUCUGAGCGAGGAGCAACUGCGGCUCGUCCGUGUGCAGCUGGAUCGAGCAAACGGCUCUGUGAAGGGUGUAAUGGAGGCCAUUGCUCAGCUGUAGGUUUGACGUCCUUGAUGGCAGUGUCCCGUGUGUGUGUGAUUGGAGUCUUAUCUCGCUGUCUCUGUGCGUGUCUGUCUGUCCCUGCGAGGAUGUGUGGGGAGGGGGUGCGGCGGAAGAGUCACGGACGCGUGACGUUCACGGAUGGCAUUGCGGGGCCCCGUCCCCCACGCCUUUACCUCAUCUCCCCCCCUUCCCUCUCCCCUCCUCAAUCAUCUACAUCGGCAGGCGGCAUCGCUUUGUCUUCACAAUCGCUCCUUCCGUGCUUGCCGUCCCUCACGCACACGGUGAUGCUCAUGGAAAGCGGAGGCGAGGCGCGAGGCGAAAAGACAAUGAGCACACGGACAAGUCGACGCGUGUCAAAGAAUUUUGCCGUCGGUGCGCCUCGUUCUGUGGGUGGGGUGGGCGUUGGGGAGUCGCCGCGACGUAGUGAAG